rnacentral:rRNA from 1 species
UACGUAGGGGGCAAGCGUUGUCCGGAUUUAUUGGGCGUAAAGAGCGUGUAGGCGGCCUGGCAGGUCAGCUGUGAAAACUCGAGGCUCAACCUCGAGACGUCGGUUGAAACCACCUGGCUAGAGUCCGGAAGAGGAGAGUGGAGUUCCCGGUGUAGCGGUGAAAUGCGCAGAUAUCGGGAAGAACACCCGUGGCGAAGGCGGCUCUCUGGGACGGUACUGACGCUGAGGCGCGAGAGCGUGGGGAGCAAACAGG